rnacentral:rRNA from 1 species
AUUGAACGCUGGCGGCAGGCCUAACACAUGCCAGUCGAGCGGAUGAAGGGAGCUUGCUCCUGGAUUCAGCGGCGGACGGGUGAGUAAUGCCUAGGAAUCUGCCUGGUAGUGGGGGAUAACGUCCGGAAACGGGCGCUAAUACCGCAUACGUCCUGAGGGAGAAAGUGGGGGAUCUUCGGACCUCACGCUAUCAGAUGAGCCUAGGUCGGAUUAGCUAGUUGGUGGGGUAAAGGCCUACCAAGGCGACGAUCCGUAACUGGUCUGAGAGGAUGAUCAGUCACGCUGGAACUGAGACACGGUCCAGACUCCUACGGGAGGCAGCAGUGGGGAAUAUUGGACAAUGGGCGAAAGCCUGAUCCAGCCAUGCCGCGUGUGUGAAGAAGGUCUUCGGAUUGUAAAGCACUUUAAGUUGGGAGGAAGGGCAGUAAGUUAAUACCUUGCUGUUUUGACGUUACCAACAGAAUAAGCACCGGCUAACUUCGUG